GGCUGGUCCCAGCACAGUGUGUUUACAACUAAUUGAUCACAACCAUUUACAGAUUCCUUUGUUCCUUCUCCACUCCCACUGCUUCACUUGACUAGCCUUAA
rnacentral:Y_RNA from 1 species